AAACAAGAAGUGCUCAGAUAAAGUCCGAAAGCUCAUAAGGCAAAAGCUGCAGAGCUAAAACCGGGUUUCUGAGAGAAUAAUGUACCCAUCAGCUCCUGAGGCGGCAGGAAGGCGGGGCGCUCAAGCGGCUCGAAGUGUUCUGCUGUUAGAAGACACAGAAAGGAGACGUACUCAAAGAGCCAUAACCAAAGAGAAAAGUGAGAGCCCUGAGUGCUCAUCAAGCCUUCUGUGCCAGCACUUCAGAAGGGCCUUGGUACCACUUGAAGGACUUCUCCAAGGACAGAGGAUUCUAUCUAUCAUAAAAAGCUGGGUGCCCCCAAAGGAGGAAAGAGUAAGUGUUCUUGAGAAGAUAUUUAUUUGAAUAUGUUUUGAGCAGGGAAUUAUACGAGAAAUCAUUUUACUAUUAAGAUUAAGUUCAUAUGAUAAAAAUAUUUAUAGAGCUUUUA